rnacentral:tRNA from 1 species
GGGUAGAUGUCCGAGCGGUCGAAGGAGCGCGCCUCGAAAGCGCGUAAGGCGUCAGCCUUCUAGGGUUCGAAUCCCUAUCUACCCGCCA